UACGUAGGGUGCGAGCGUUAAUCGGAAUUACUGGGCGUAAAGCGUGCGCAGGCGGCUUACUAAGACAGGUGUGAAAGCCCCCGAGCUUAACUUGGGAAUGGCGCUUGUGACUGGUAGGCUGGAGUGUGGCAGAGGGAGGUGGAAUUCCACGUGUAGCAGUGAAAUGCGUAGAGAUGUGGAGGAACACCGAUGGCGAAGGCAGCCUCCUGGGCCAGCACUGACGCUCAUGCACGAAAGCGUGGGGAGCAAACAGG
rnacentral:rRNA from 1 species